GAUGAACGCUGGCGGCGUGCUUAACACAUGCAAGUCGAACGGAAAGGCUCCUGCUUGCAGGGGUACUCGAGUGGCGAACGGGUGAGUAACACGUGGGUGAUCUGCCCUGCACUUCGGGAUAAGCCUGGGAAACUGGGUCUAUACCGGAUAGGACGAUGGUUUGGAUGCCAUUGUGGAAAGUUUUUUCGGUGUGGGAUGAGCUCGCGGCCUAUCAGCUUGUUGGUGGGGUAAUGGCCUACCAAGGCGUCGACGGGUAGCCGGCCUGAGAGGGUGUACGGCCACAUUGGGACUGAGAUACGGCCCAGACUCCUACGGGAGGCAGCAGUGGGGAAUAUUGCACAAUGGGCGCAAGCCUGAUGCAGCGACGCCGCGUGGGGGAUGACGGCCUUCGGGUUGUAAACUCCUUUCGCUAGGGACGAAGCGCAAGUGACGGUACCUGGAGAAGAAGCACCGGCUAACUACGUG
rnacentral:rRNA from 1 species